GCACUGGCAAAAUCCAGUGCCGGGAUUUGCACCCCGGAUUACUAAAAGGCGCAUACCACGCCAGACGUGGUUUUUUU
rnacentral:sRNA from 1 species